CGGGGAGUGGCGCAGCGGUAGCGCACCUGCUUUGGGAGCAGGAGGUCGGGGGUUCGAAUCCCCCUUCCCCGACCA
rnacentral:tRNA from 1 species